UACGAGGGGGCGAGCGUUGUUCGGAAUUAUUGGGCGUAAAGGGUGCGAUAGGCGGUUUGGUAAGUUCUGAUGUGAAAUCUAUGGGCUACAACCUCAUAGUCGUGCAUCGGAAACUGUCGGGCUUGAGUAUGGGAGAGGUGAGUGGGAAUUUCCGGUGUAGCGGUGAAAUGCGUAGAUAUCGGAAGGAACACCUGUGGCGAAAGCGGCUCACGUGGCCAUUCUGACGCUGAGGCACGAAAGCUAGGGGAG
rnacentral:rRNA from 1 species